UCUUCUGGAUGAGGGAAGUUUCGAAAUUCGAAGGCAACGAACUAUAUACACGUGUUUUUCUUUUAACUAUGCAUGCGUGUAAUCCUCUCGAAGACGAGUUCGCUGACCUAUGCCACGUGGAUUUUUCGAGGUCAUUCACUAUCGUUUAUCGAGUUGUUCAAAGUUUAGAAGAUCUUCCUCAUCCUAGUUAUUAUCCUUCUCGAAGAAGUUCCGUUUAAUUAUGCAUCAAUUUUAUCCCUCUCAACAAUCAAAAGUUUGUAAACUUUUCUUAUAAUUCUAAAAUUUGAAGAUAAAUACGUUAUAUAAUUGAACAUAUGAAAAGAUAUAUAUAGUGUGAUAUUUUUAAAAAAAGGUAAUACCAUUUUGUAGAUUUUUGUGUGACGCAAUUGGUUUCGAAGAAAAAUGAUUGCGGAGAAAGAAUGUCUGUAUAAAAAUUCUCGUAAAGUUGCUCGAACUGUGCUCGAUCAACGUCCAAAUUUACUCGAAACUACUGAUUUUUCGUUUUUUUGAAGUAUCUCAUACCUCUCGUAUCUCGACUCUGGCUAAGAUCGUGCCUAAGAUCGUGCCUAAGAUCGUACUUACAUAUAUACCCGGAAACUCGAAACGAAGAAGCCGAAAAAUUCUCGAAUUUUCAUCCAAUCAUAAUUUCCUAUUACUUCUAUCAUUGUGAAAAUAUAUAAGUUAAAAAAAAAAAAAAAAAGACAAACUCUUAAAUUCCAAGAAACUACGAGUAAUAAUAUUGAAAACUUUAAUAGAAAAGUUUCCUCCUGGAUGGUUCCUCAAAAAAGUUGGGGGAAACCAACUCCAUCGUAUUCCAAAGUACUUCUUUCGAUUUCAUCCGAACCGCGCAAUUAUUUUUAUUUUUUACGCAGAAAAUUUUUUUUCAACGAAUUUACAAAUUUUCACUCGUUCAUUCAUUUCUCGUCGGAAGAACGUUACUCCAUCCCUCGGAAAAAGCGCCCCUAUCCUCGUAAGAACGUCGCAUCUGUAUCCUCGUCGAUCGUGGUAUACGCGUAAUAAAGUUGGAAAACACGGAGCGUAUCAAGUGGAAACGUCCGUCUCGACCCAAUUAACGCCUCCCAAUUUGAUCGUGGCGGCGUCUACACGCUCGAUGCCGAUCCACCACGCUCUCCAAGUCAGCGCGUUGCUCCGUGAGGGAAUGUUUCGCGGUUAUUUAUAAGUUCGAGGGUCGCCGCUUAACCUUGUCCGACGUGGACCGUCAGGCAUGUCACCUAAACGUUUUAUUAACGAUCCUCUUCCCCUCCCCUUCAUCCGAAUCGUUCCAAUUGGGUCAGAUCCGCGGAUCCUAUAUUUUUCGCCACUUUUCUCCACUCUUCUUUCUUCGCUUCGUAUAAUAUAAUUUCGACUCGUGUUUUAGAGUGUUUUAGAGUCUUGGAACGAUGGUAUGGGGAAAACUAGACGAAUUUCCGUCGAAGUGAUUCGUUGAACGAUCCGGAGGGAAUGGAGUGGAAGAUUUAAAAGCACGUGUGCCAUGUAAUCGAAUUAGGAUGGAGACGAGAAUUUUAUUUUUUUUAAUUGUAAUAAAGUAUUACGUUACGAUACAAAAAUGGAAAAUUUAUUGCCUAUAUUUCUCUGGAUUUAAGUUUAAGUCUCUAAGUAGUAAUUUAUUACUUCAAAGAUGUUACACAGAUGCUAUAAAUAUGCCAGGAAUAUCUGUAUCAAUUUUUAUGAAGACGCAUUUUUGGAAUAAUUUGAAAGAACGAAUAACAGGGAUAUUUUGUGUUUAAUAUAGUUCCAUUCCGAUGCAAAUUGUUGGAAUUUUUUAAAUAUUGAUUAUGUAAGUGACUCGAUUCGAAAGUUGAGCCAAAUAAAUAUUUUGUUUAAAAAGAGA